CCUCCCCUAGCAGGAAAGAAGCUGCCGGUACCUUGGCAGAUGCUCGCAUAGCUGCUGCCGAGAAGUCCAUCAAGAAGGCUGAAACCGCCACAAGACCUGAAGAGGCAGCAUCCGCUAAGAAGGAUGCCACAAAAUCCGAGGCUGAUGCAAUGAAGUACGGGGCCAUCUCUCAGCAGGCCGCCGGCAAAAAUGGUGCCUAAGUGGUGCCUUAAACACCUAUUCACACGCAACAUCAUCUACAUACUACCAUGCAUGCAAAAUAGCAGCAUUCAGAUACCACAUUAUGCUAAUUCUCAUGCAUGCACACUUUGUUUAAACGUUCCCAUUACGAAUCAUGUAUUAAUGUCUUGCUUGUUUUAUUUUUAGUAGUAAGACAUGCUUGACUUGCUUUAAAAAAAAUACAACAAUCGAUGUAUACAUGUAUUAUCUAAAAAUCAGUAAUAUGAGUUCCACCGCAAUUUGUUUCUUUUUGUCAUAAUUUGGGUGCAAUCAAUGCACACAUCCAAUACACAAAAUUGGACGACUCAAUGUGUUGUGGCUCCAUGGAGCGGCGAAUCAUGUUUUAUUGUCUUGCUUGUUUUACUUUUAGUAGUAAUGUCUUGCUGGUCAAUGUAUUAUGGCUCCAUGGAGCGGCAUAAUGAUAUAUGAUAUAUCUUCACUACUUCAAAAAGAACUUAAGGUUUCGUCAUACAUCUUUCCUUCAUCCAUCCUCCCUACGAAUCCUUCCUGUUUUGAUUUUUUUCUCCCAUCUUUGAUUUUUCUCCCCAUUGAUUCUACCUAAAAACCACCUCAAUGUCACAUGUUUACUGUAUAUGUCAAGGCCUCCUUUGGUUCAUAGGGUAGAAAAAAACAUAGGAAUAGGAAAGUCAUAGGAAAUGAGAUGACAUGUAUCUCAAAUCCUAUGAUUGGGAAUAGGAAAGGAGAUGCCCUUUGAUUCACAUCAUAGGAUUUUUUCAUUGAAUCUAGGCUAAUGUUUAUUUUCCUAUGAAAUGUGAAGGAGAGGAAGAAUUCCUCCAUAGGAUUAGGAUUCCAUUCCUACAAACCAAAGGACUCUAAAGGAAUUUUUUCUAUAGAAAUCCUAUCCUAUGAAAUUCUUACAAGAUUCCUCCAAAUCAAAGGAGGCCCAAGUGGUUGUGAUGAGACAGUGGCUGGGCACUUCAGAUUUAUUCCCGUAACUGACUGUCAAAUUGAGUCAUCUGUCGUCCUUUCGAUGAUUGUAAGAAAGUUAUAUGUUUACUGUAUGUGCCAAUUGGUUGUGAUUAUCGUUACCGGCCACAAAGUUAUAUUUUCUUGUCUUAACGAAGGGUUGCAUACAAUGCGUGUAGCUCUUGACGCCUGAUAACCCACAAGUAUAGGGGAUCGCAACAGUUUUUGAGGGUAGAGUAUUCAACACAAAUUUAUAGAUUCGACACAAGGGGAGCCAAAGAAUAUUUGUAAGUAUUAACAGCUGAGUUAUCAAUUCAACCACACCUGGAGAUUAAUUAUCUGCAGCAAAGUGAUCAGUAGCAUAGUAGUAUGAUAGUUUUGAUAGUAGUAGCAACAUCAACAGUAACGGUAAUAGUGGUAGCAAUGGUUUUGUAGCAGUGACAAUAGUAACAGCAGCAGUAGUAACUUAGCAAGAACAAUAUGUACGAAAAUCGUACGCAUUGGAUCGGUGAUUUGUUGGAUGAUAUUCAUCAUGUGACAGUUACAACCUAGGACGAUACGGCACUAGCUCCAGUUCAUAAAUAUAAUGUAGGCAUGUAUUCUAUAAAUAAUCAUACGUGCUUAUGGAAAGAACUUGUAUGACAUCUUUUGUCCUACCCUCCUGUGGCAGCGGUGUCCUAUUGGAAACUAAGGGAUAUUAAGGCCUCCUUUUAAUAGAGAACCAGAACAAAGCAUUAACACACGGUGAAUACAUGAACUCCUCAAACUACGGUCAUCACAGGGAAGUGUCCCGACUAUUGUCACUCCGGGGUUGCCGGAUCAUAACACGUAGUAGGUAACUAUAACUUGCAAGAUUGGAUCUAGAACAUAGAUAUAAUGGUGAUAACAUAAGUCAUAGCAACAUCAAUCUCAGAACAUAAUGGAUACUCGGGAUGAAGCCCUAACAAAACUAACUCAAUUACAUGAUGAAUCUCAUCCAACUCCUCACCGACCAGCGAGCCUACGAAGGAAUUACUCACUCCUGGUGGGGAGCAUCAUGGAAUUGGCGAUGGAGAAGGGUUGGUGAUGACGAAGAUCGAAGACCCCCCUCUCUGGAGCCCCAAACGGACUCCAAAUCUAGCCUCCCGAUGAAGAACAGGAGAUGACGGCGGCUCUGUCUCGUGGAUCGUGAUAAUUCUUUCUUCCUGAUUUUUUCUGGAAAAAUAGGAUUUUAUAGCGUCGGAUUCAGGGCCUGCGGGGCCACCAGGUGGGGACAACCCACCUGGGUGUGCUUGGAGGGGGGGGGCCUGGUGGGUUGUGCCCAUCCAGGUGCCCCCCUCCGGUUGUUCUUGGCUCCAGAAAUUCUCUGUAUUUGUAUAAAAAUUCCUCGCAAAGUUUUGUUCCAAUCCGAAAACUUUUAUUUCUGCACAAAAAAAACACCAUGGUAGUUUUGUUGGAAACAGCGUCAGUCCGGGUUAGUUUCAUUCAAAUCAUGCAAAUUAGAGUGCAAAACAAGAGGAAAGUGUUAGGAAAAGUAGAUACGACGGAGAUGUAUCAACUCCUCCAAGCUUAAACCUUUGCUUGUCCUCAAGCAAUUCAGUUGAUAAACUGAAAGUGAAAAAAAAAUUACGAACUCUUUUGCUCUUGUUUUCAUAAAUAAGCUUAAACAUCACCCAGUGUCGAUGUCAAAACCGGCGGAUCUCGGAUAGGGGGUCCCGAACUGUGCGUCUAGGCGGAUGGUAACAGGAGACAAGGGACACGAUGUUUACCCAGGUUCGGGCCCUCUCGAUGGAGGUAAAACCCUACUCCUGCUUGAUUAAUAUUGAUGAUAUGGGCAGUACAAGAGUAGAUCUACCACGAGAUCAAGGAGGCUAAACCCUAGAAGGUAGCCUAUGGUAUGAUUGUUGUUGUCCUACAGACUAAAACUCUCUGGUUUAUAUAGACACCGGAGAGGGUUAGGGUUACACAGAGUCGGUUACAAUGGUAGGAGAUCUACAUAUCUGUAUCGCCAAGCUUGCCUUCCACGCCAAGGAAAGUCCCUUCCAGACACGGGAAGAAGUCUUCAAUCUUGUAUGUUCAUAGUCCGGGAGUCCGGCUGAAGGUAUCGUCCGGCUAUCCGGACACCCCCUAAUUCAGGACUCCCUUAGAGCCCCCGAACCAGGCUUCAAUGACGACGAGUCUGGCACGCAAAUUGUCUUCGGCAUUGCAAGGCGGGUUCUCCUUCAAUUUCUGUGUACCUGCUGAAUAAUGUCCGGUUUCUUAUAAAUGUAGCGCUCCUCGGCUUCCACGCCCAAUAAUGGCCGUCUUCCACGUGUCAAAUGAAUACGAAAAGUCUGGGUGUUUUUACAUUCACACCCCCAGCCGCGUAAAUGAGCCGCCUAUUUAAAGGGACGGGGAUUUAGAUCCAAACCACACCUUCUCCUCUCCGCGAGUUUCAUCAGAGCGCAUCCGACAAAGGACCGUUCCAUCAUGGCCAGCCGUCGCAGCUCCUCCUCUCGCCCUUCCAGCCCUCAUCCUGGAGAUUGGGAGAGAUGCUCCGUCCCGCACAGCGAGCUAGUGUCGCUUCGGACCAAAGGGAUUUCUUCCUCCGGCCUAUAUGGUCCCGGUUCGAGCCGGACUUGCCACCUAUAAUGGCGGAGAGCAAGUGGAGAGCGCCCCCAAUCCCUCCAAAGGAGAGCGGGUAUGCCUUGUCCCUUAUUUAAUAAGAGGGCUCGGAUUUCCAAUUCAUCCAUUUCUCCGGGGGCUCCUGGAGUUCUAUGGCCUCCAGCUGCACAACCUCACGCCUGUCUCCGUAUUGCAUAUUGCGGGCUUCGUAGCCCUUUGCGAGUUGUUUUUGGGUGUUGAGGCUCAUUUCGCGCUGUGGAAGAGGCUAUUCUGCCUUGUGCCCUGUUCUUAGGAGGGGUCAAUAUAUCAAGUGGGCGGAGCCAAAGUGUGGUGUAUCGCCGGGACCGGAUAUCUAUCCGGAACCCCAAAGAAGGCGUCUGAGGACUGGCCUUCAGAAUGGUUUUAUAUAGAGGACGUCCCGUUGCCGGAUCCUGUUCGGAUCGGCCUCCCUGAGUUCAACAGCGCUCCCCUAAAGAAAAACCUAAGCUGGCGCCCACGGAGCCCUCAGAGAGAAAGUGACAAGGACAUUCUUUACCUGAUGGGCCGGAUAAGAUUAUUAGCUCAUUCCGGACUAACCAUGAUCGGAGUCAUGGCUGCAUGCAUCAUGCGAGGGGUGCAACCGCUUCAGUACAGAGGCCACCCCAUGUGGGACUUCAACGGGGAGGAUGAUGCCACCCGUCACGGCCGUAAGGGGCCGGACUCGGCUACCGCUCUAGUAAAGAUCUUGUCCGCUUUGUACAAGGGAGAAGAGGAGGAAUUUCUCCGCGUCAACCCACAGGGUGGAUUUACCAUGUACAAUCCCCCAAGUUGGGUAAGUGGGCAAUUUUACUUGCACGUCUGUUUUGUAUUCCCAUCAUUAAAUAUAUAGUCUAACGACUUCAACGCAGGAACUGCGCCUGGAAGUAAAGGACAUAAAUAGCCCGCCUCCACAGCCCGAGGACCCAGAGUUGUCCCUCGAUCCGGCCUCCGAAGAGGAUCCGGACUUAUCCAUGGAGUUAAUUGAUGGGGUGUUUUAUCAAUUGAGCAAGGACAAUGCCUUGGUGGCCAUUAAGGCCGAUUACCCGGGGCUGCUCCCGGCCUCCCAGGUAACUGAGACCGAAGUCCUAGCACCUCAAAAAGGGAUCCGCCCUCGCGUGUUUUUCAGUUUCCUGACAACAACCGUGUUUUGCAGGGGAGGUUCUUGAGACGGGAGGCCGAGCCUGCGGCGACUAGCCAACGAGGGGCUACAGGGCCCCGUGGGAUGAAAAGAAGUGCAGUCCGGAUUGAGGCGCCGGCGCAGAGGUAUAGCACGCCUUCUUAUUCCCAGGUGUUAUUCCUUCAAGGCAUAUUAACACUCGUGCUCUUUUCAGGACAAAAAGACCCCGCCGGACUAUAUCUGGAGAGGCUGCCAAUCGCGCCUCCACCAGCCAGGCUCCAAAGCCUGGUCCGGAGACGGAGGCGAACACGAGGCGCGCACCGGACGCUCCUCCAACAGAGGAUGCGGACAGGCUGUCCGCCACUAAUUCCGAGGUGGAGAGUGCCAUGAACCACAGGCGUCGCCGGACAGUUCUUCGCGACGCUUGUUUCUCCCAAGAGGCAUUGGACGCCUUCAAUUCGGGAGAUGCGUACCUCCGUGCCGCUCAAAAUGGUCUAGCCAGAGCCACGGAGCAAUAUGUAAAAGACAUACAGGUGAGAAAAUUUAAUGGUUAUAUAUAUCAGUAGCCCCCGAGACUUGAAACAGUUAGAAGAACUGAUUUAAGGAUCAUUCAUAAUGCAGGUUCUUGCGGAAAAGAAUACCCAACUGUCCCAGGAGCUAGAAGAGUGCAAAGCCCAACUUGAGGCCGCACUAGCCGCGACAGGGGAGCCCAAGGAGACCCCCUCUGGUAAUAUGUGCUUCAAAAAGAGAAGUAUUUUGUGAAGUGCGGCGUUUGUGCAAAUCUGACAAAUGAAAUUGCAGAUGGCGCCGGAUUAGAUCCGGAAAAGCAACAACUCCUACGCCAGCUAAAGGCUGGUGAGAGCGUGCUGACAAAGGUGAGGUGGGAGAAGAACGAUCUCCAAUAUGCCAACACCAAGCUGGGCGUUGAACUGAAAGAUGUUUGUGCCCAGCUGUCGGACUCCGCUAAGGAGAAUCAGCGGCUUCGACGCGGCAUAUUUAGUAAGUGCUUAAACGAACUUUGAAUAAAGAGUUCGACGAGGAAGUCGACUAACGGAGUAAUGUCUGUAGGUAUGCUAACAGGUCGUCCUGCAGAGGAGAUGCCCGGUUCUAUGGGUGACCUUCUUCCCGAGCUCUUGCAACUGCACGAGCGAGUUCGGCAGGUGAUGCAGGGCGUCGCCCAGGCCUUGUGGCCAUCCAUCUCCAUGCCCGAAGGACUUGGAGAGCUUGCAGAGAAGCUGAAGGGAGCGCGGCGGCGCUUCUGAUUGUGGAAGAUAUCGGCCUGCGUCAAGGCGCUAGGGAGGCAUGGGCCAUGGUGAAGACGCGGUACACGAAGGCUGACCCAAACCACAUGGCCGAGGUCGGACCUGUGGGGCCCGAUGGGAAGGAGAUCCCUGUAAGCUUCGUAUACGGCUAAGUAGAAUUGGCCGCAAAGUAUUCCCAGCAGGACUGUAAGCUAGACAGCCUGUUAGAUGGUAUUGAAGAGGAAUACAAUCAGUCAUAAUGACUAUGUAAUUUUAAUUGACAUGUGUAAUGCCUUCUAGCCAGAUUGUAGAUCAUUUUUCAUGGCCGACCUUUUUGCUUCGACCUCGGGACCUGCGGUCUGGAGUGUGUCCGAAUACCCUUGCGGUUAUAUAAGAACCGGGGUAUGCAUGGAGACUAGGCGUAGGGGUCAUUAGUGCUUGAACAGACAAGUGCCCGACUAGUUAUGUUAUAUUACAUGGUUAGUAAGAAACAUCUUCCAGGGAGAAUAGUUCCGUUAGGGGUUCCUUUCCCUGGGAGGCAUGCCCUAAAGUGCAUGUCCAUUCUGCGAAAAAGAGACGCAGGAAAAAACAUCUGGGGGCGCAUAGAUAAAUAAGUGAAAAAAUCAUCUUUAGUUCACCGACCGAAUAUUUCCUUAAGAACGCUAGCUUUCGGCUUCACCCAGUCUGAGGUACACAUCGGGCUGACCCGGCAGUAACAAUCGCAGAGGUGCUCCCUUUACCACCUAGCCGAACAAUCGGGAACAUAGGGGUAAGCACAGGAGCCAGGCAACCCAGCUUGGCCAAAAAUUAAGUCAUAUCGAUGCAUAUGAUGGUGAAUAAAAGGUACAUGCGGAAGUGUGACACAUGUGUUGGGCAUGAAGCCCGUAUAAGCUUCUGUUCAAAGAAGCCCCCAGGUUUAGUGAGCGUGGAUAGCGCGUCACUUGAUGAGCCUUUAAAGGCUAUAAGAGAAAGGAGGGGGAGAAGGAGAAAAUGGAAGACAGAAAAUAUAAAAAAUGGACAGAGGAAGGAGACGAACAUAGAGUCCGGCGCUAGGCAUAGAAUCUUCGGAGACGGGCUGCGUUCCAUGGGUUCGGUUCGAGUCGGUUAUCCGAUGCAUCUCGCAGGCGGUAUGCUCCACCAGUCAGGACUUGGUCAAUUAUGAAGGGACCUUCCCACUUGGGCUGGAGUUUGUCCUUUUUCUUGUCCGGCAGGCGUAGAACUAGUUCGCCAACAUUGUAAUUUUUGGCCCGUACUUCUCUGCUUUGAUAUCUUCGAGCCUGCUGUUGAUAGAAUGCGGAACGGGCUUUUGCCACGUCACGCUCCUCCUCCAAGGCAUCUAAACUGUCCUGCCGAUCGAGCUCGGCUUCUCUUUCUUCGUACAUGCGCACUCAAGGUGAGUCAUGAAUUAUAUCGCAGGGCAAAACUGCUUCUGCACCGUACACCAUGAAGAAUGGUGUGUAUCCGGUGGUGCGAUUCGACGUGGUCCGCAGCCCCCAGAGUACGGAGUCGAGCUCCUCUACCCAGUGCGUGUUAGAUUCCUUAAGGUACCGCACUAAUCUGGGUUUGAUGCCGCUCAUGAUAAGACCAUUUGCGUGUUCGACCUGUCCGUUAGUUUGUGGGUGAUAGACGGAAGCAUAAUCGAGCUUGAUGCCCAUGUUUUUGCACCAGAGUUUUACCUCAUCGACCGUAAAGUUCGUACCGUUAUCAGUGAUGAUGCUGUGGGGGACGCCGUAACGGUGUACGACCCCCGAUAUAAAGUCUAUCACCGGUCCGGAUUCGGCCGUCUUAAUAGGCUUGGCCUCUAUCCAUUUGGUGAACUUAUCCACCAUGACCAGUAAGUAUUUUUUCUUCUGGGUUCCGCCUUUAAGGGGUCCAACCAUGUCAAGCCCCCAGACCGCGAAGGGCCAAGUGAUGGGGAUAGUUUGGAGGGCGGUGGGUGGCAUAUGGCUUUGGUUUGGCAAAAGCUGGCAACCGACGCAUCGUUGGACUAAGUCCUGAGCGUCUGCCCGGGCCGUUGGCCAAUAAAAGCCUGUACGGAAAGUCUUGCUUACGAGGGACCGAGUUGCGGUGUGAUGACCAUCGAGUCCGGCAUGAAUUUCAGCCAGCAAGUUCCGCCCAUCCUCCUCGGAGAUGCACCUUUGAAGGACUCCGGUAGUGCUUUUCUUAUAAAGCUCUCCCUCAUGGACUUUAUAGGCUUUAGAUCGCCGCACUAUGCAGCGUGCCUCAUUUUGGUCUUCUGGGAGUUCCUGCCUAGUAAGGUAGGCUAGGAAUGGUUCUGUCCACGGGGCGAUGACCGCCAUUAUUACGUGGGCUGAAGAUGUGACUUCAUUGGCAGAAUCUCCAAUUAUGUCAGUGUUGGGUAACGUAGCAGAAAUUCAAAAUUUUCCUACGUGUCACCAAGAUCUAUCUAUGGAGAAACCAGCAACGAGGGGAAGGAGAGUGCAUCUACAUACCCUUGUAGAUCGCUAAGCGGAAGCGUUCAAGAGAACGGGGUUGAAGGAGUCGUACUCGUCGUGAUCCAAAUCACCGAUGAUCCUAGUGCCGAACGGACGGCACCUCCGCGUUCAACACACGUACAGCCCGGUGACGUAUCCCACGCCUUGAUCCAGCAAGGAGAGAGGGAGAGGUUGAGGAAGACUCCAUCCAGCAGCAGCACAACGGCGUGGUGGUGGUGGAGGAGCGUGGCAAUCCUGCAGGGCUUCGCCAAGCACCACGGGAGAGGAGGAAGGAGAGAUGCAGGGCUGCGUCAUAUAGAAGAGAGGAACUCGCGUCUUAUGAGCAGCCCAAACCUCAACUAUAUAUAGGGGAAGGGGAGAGGCUGCGGCCCCUUUAGGGUUUCCACCCCUAGGGGUGGCGGCCAGCCUAGAUCCCAUCUAAGGGAGGCGGCCAAGGGGGAGGGGGAGAGGGAGGCGCACCAGGAUGGGCCUUAGGGCCCAUCUGCCCUAGGGUUUGCCCCCUUCUCCUCUCCCUUGCACCUUGGGCCCUUGUGGGGGGGGGGGCGCACCAGCCCACCUGGGGCUGGUCCCCUUCCACACUUGGCCCAUGAAGCCCUCCGGGGCUGGUUUGCCCCACUUGGUGGACCCCCGGGACCCUCCCGGUGGUCCCGGUACGUCACCGAUAAACCCCGAAACUUUUCCGGUGACCAAAACAGGACUUCCCAUAUAUAAAUGUUUACCUCCGGACCAUUCCAGAACUCCUCGUGACGUCCGAGAUCUCAUCCGGGACUCCGAACAACAUUCGGUAACCACAUACAAACUUCCUUUAUAACCCCAGCGUCAUCGAACCUUAAGUGUGUAGACCCUACGGGUUUGGGAGACAUGCAGACAUGACCGAGACGUUCUCUGGUCAAUAACCAAUAGCGGGAUCUGGAUACCCAUGUUGGCUCCCACAUGUUCCACGAUGAUCUCAUCGGAUGAACCACGAUGUCAAGGACUUAAUCAAUCCCGUAUACAAUUCCCUUUGUCUAUCGGUACGAUACUCGCCCGAGAUUCGAUCGUCGGUAUCCCGAUACCUUGUUCAAUCUCAUUACCGGCAAGUCUCUUUACUCGUUCCGUAACACAUCAUCCCGUGAUCAACUCCUUGAUCACAUUGUGCACAUUAUGAUGAUGUCCUACCGAGUGGGCCCAGGGAUACCUCUCCGUCACACGGAGUGAUAAAUCCCAGUCUCGAUUCGUGCCAACCCAACAGACACUUUCAGAGAUACCCGUAGUGUACCUUUAUAGCCACCCAGUUACCUUGUGACGUUUGGCACACCCAAAGCACUCCUACGGUAACCGGGAGUUGCACAAUCUCAUGGUCUAAGGAAAUGAUACUUGACAUUAGAAAAGCUUUAGCAUACGAACUACACGAUCUAGUGCUAUGCUUAGGAUUGGGUCUUGUCCAUCACAUCAUUUUCCUAAUGAUGUGAUCCCGUUAUCAACGACAUCCAAUGUCCAUGGUCAGGAAACCGUAACCAUCUAUUGAUCAACGAGCUAGUCAACUAGAGGCUUACUAGGGACAUGGUGUUGUCUAUGUAUCCACACAUGUAUCUGAGUUUCCUAUCAAUAUAAUUCUAGCAUGGAUAAUAAACGAUUAUCAUGAACAAGGAAAUAUAAUAAUAAUCAAUUUAUUAUUUCCUCUAGGGCAUAUUUCCAACAGUCUCCCACUUGCACUAGAGUCAAUAAUCCAGUUCACAUCGUUAUGUGACUAACACUCAAGGUCACAUCCCCAUGUGACUAACACCCAAAGAGUUUACUAGAGUCAAUAAUCUAGUUCACAUUUACCAUGUGAUUAACACUCGAUGAGUUCUGGGUUUGAUCAUGUUAUGCUUGUGAGAGAGGUUAUAGUCAACGGGUCUGAACCUUUCAGAUCCGUGUGUGCUUUACAAAUCUCUAUGUCAUCUCCUAGAUGCAGCUACCACGCUCUAUUUGGAGCUAUUCCAAAUAACUGUUCUACUAUACGAAUCCAGUUUACUACUCAGAAUAAUCUGGAUUAGUGUCAAAGUUUGCAUCGGCGUAACCCUUUACGACGAACUCUUUUACCACCUCCAUAAUCGAGAAAAUUCCUUAGUCCACUAGUUACUAAGGAUAACUUUGAUCGCUGUCCUGUGAUCCAUUCUUGGAUCACUCUUGUACCCCUUGACUGACUCAUGGCAAGGCACACUUCAGGUGCGGUACAUAGCAUAGCAUACUGUAGAGCCUAUGUCUUAAGCAUAGGGGACGACCUUCGUUCUUUCUCUCUAUUCUGCCGUGGUCAAGCUUUAAGUCUUAACUUCAUACCUUACAACUCAGGCAAGAACUCCUUCUUUGACUGAUCCAUCUUGAACACCUUCAAGAUCAUGUCAAGGAAUGUGCUCAUUUGAAAGUACCAUUAAGUGUUUUGAUCUAUCCUUAUAGAUCUUGAUGCUCAAUGUUCAAAUAGCUUAAUCCAGGCUUUCCAUUGAAAAAACACUUUCCAAAUAACCCUAUAUGCUUUCCAGAAAUUCUACGUCAUUUCUGAUCAACAAUAUGUCAACAACAUAUAUUCAUCAGAAAUUCUAUAGUGCUCCCACUCACUUCUUUGGAAAUACAAGUUUCUCAUAAACUUCGUAUUCACCCAAAAUCUUUGAUCAUCUCAUCAAAGCAUACAUUCCAACUCGAGAUGCUUACUCCAGUACUUAGAAGGAUUGCUGGAGCUUUGCAUACUUAUUAGCAUAUUUCAGGAUUGACAAAACCUUCCGGUUGUAUCACAUACAACCUUUCCUCAAAAAUCAUCGAGGAAACAAUGUUUUGACAUCCUAUCUGCAAGAUUUCAUAAAUGAUGCAGUAAUUGCUAAUAUAAUUCCAACAGACUCUUAGCAUCGCUACGAGUGAGAAAGUCUCAUCGUAGUCAACUCCUUGAACUUGUCGGAAAACAUCUUAAUGACAAGUCGAGCUUUCUUAAUGGUGAUACUUACCAUCAUUGUCCGUCUUCCUUUUAAAAUCCAUAUGUACCUAACAGCCUUACGACCAUCAAGUUGUUCUUCCAAAGUCUACACUUUGUUUUCACAUAUGGAUCCUCUCUCGGAUUAUAUGGCCUUGAGCCAUUUUGGAAUCCAGGCCCACCAUUGCUCCUCCAUAGCUCGUAGGUUCAUUGUUGUCUAGCAACAUGACUUCCAAGACAGGAUUACGUACCAUUCUAAAGCAGUACACAUCCUUGUCAUCCCACGAGGUUUGGUAGUGACUUGAUCUGAAGUUUCAUGAUCACUAUCAUAAGCUUCCACUUCAAUUGGUGUAGGUGCCACAGGAACAACUCCCUGUGCCCUGCCACACACUAGUUGAAGAGAUGGUUCAAUAACCUCAUCAAGUCUCCACCAUCCUCCCACUCAAUUCUUUCGAGAGAAACUUUUCCUCGAGAAAGGACCCGAUUCUAGUAACAAUCCCUUAUUGCUUUCGAAUCUGAGACAGGAGGUAUACCCAACUGUUUUGGGUGUCCUAUGAAGAUGUAUUUAUCCGCUUUGGGUUCGAGCUUAUCGACCUGAAACUUUUUCACAUAAGCGUCGCAGCCCCAAACUUUUAAGAAAUGACAGCUUAGGUUUCUCUAAACCAUAGUUCAUACGGUGUCAUCUCAUCGGAAUUACGUGGUGCCCUAUUUAAAGUGAAUGUGGUUGUCUCUAAUGCCUAACCCAUAAACUAUUGUGGUAAUUCGAUAAGAGACAUCAUGGUAUGCAUCAUAUCCAAUAGGGUGCAGUUAUGAUGUUCGGACACACCAUCACACUAUGGUGUUCCAGGCUGUAUCAGUUGUGAAACAAUUUCCACAAUGUCUUAAUUCUGUGCCAAACUCGUAAUUCAGAUAUUCAUCUCUAUGAUCAUAUCAUAGAUAUUUUAUCCUCUUGUCACGAUGAUCUUUCAACUUCACCCUGAAAUUACUUGAACCUUUCAAUAAUUCAAACUCAUGAUUCAUCAAGUAAAUAUACUCAACAUCUACUCAAAUCAUCUGUGAAGUAAGAACAUAACGAUAUCCACUACAUUCCUCAGCACUCAUUGGACUGCACACAUCAAAAUGUAUUACUUCCAACAAGUUGCUUUCUAGUUCCAUUUUACUGAAACCGAGGCUUUCAGUCAUCUUGCCCAUGUGGUAUGAUUUGCAUGUCUCAAGUGAUUCAAAAUCAAGUGAGUCCAAAUGGUCCAUUUGCAUGGAGUUUCUUCAUGCAUAUACACCAAUAGACAUGGUUCGCAUGUCUCAAACUUUUCAAAAAUGAGUGAGCCCAAAGAUCCAUCAACAUGGAGCUUCUUCAUGCGUUUUAUACUGAUAUGACUUACGUGGCAGUGCCACAAGUAGGUGGUACUAUCAUUACUAUCUUAUAUCUUUUGGCAUGAACAUGUGUAUCACUACGAUCAAGAUUCAAUAAACCAUUCAUUUUAGGUGCAAGACCAUUGAAGGUAUUAUUCAAAUGAACAGAGUAACCAUUAUUCUCCUUAAAUGAAUAGCCGUAUCGCGAUAGACAUAAUCCAAUCAUGUCUAUGCUCAACGCAAACACCAAAUAACAAUUAUUUAGGUUUAACACCAAUCUCGAUGGUAGAGGGAGCGUGCGAUGCUUGAUCAUAUCAACAUUGGAAACACUUCCAACACAUAUCGUCAGCUCACCUUUAGCUAGUCUCCGUUUAUUCCGUAGCUUUUAUUUCAAGUUACUAACACUUAGCAACCGAACCGGUAUCUAAUACCCUGGUGCUACUAGGAGUACCAGUAAAGUACACAUUAACACAAUGUAUAUCCAAUAUACUUCUAUCGACCUUGCCAGCCUUCUCUUCUACCAAGUAUCUAGGGUAAUUCUGCUCCAGUGGCUGUUCCCCUUAUUACAGAAGCACUUAAUUAGUCUCGGGUUUGGGUUCAACCUUGGGUUUCUUCACUAGAGCAGCAGCUAAUUUGCCGUUUCAUGAAGUAUCCCUUCUUGCCCUUGCCCUUCUUGAAACUAGUGGUUUCACCAACCAUCAACAAUUGAUGCUCCUUCUUGAUUUCUACUUUUGUGGUGUCAAACAUCGCGAAUAUCUCAAGGAUCAUCAUAUAUGUCCCUGAUAUAUUAUAGUUCAUCACGAAGCUCUAGCAGCUUGGUGGUAAUGACUUCGGAGAAACAUCACUUUCUCAUCUGGAAGAUCAACUCCCACUCGAUUCAAAUGAUUGUUGUACUCAGACAAUCUGAGCACAAGCUCAACAAUUGAGCUUUUCUCCCUUAGUUUGCAGGCUAAGAAAAUUGUCGGAGGUCUUAUACCUCUUGACAUGGGCACGAGCCUGAAAUCCAAAUUUCAGCCCUCGAAACAUCUCAUAUGUUUUGCGACGUUUCAAAACGUCUUUGGUGCCUCAACUCUAAACCGUUUAACUGAACUAUCACGUAGUUAUGAAAAUGUGUAUGUCAGAUGUUCGCAACAUCCACAGACAACGUUCGAGGUUCAGCACACUGAGCGGUGCAUUAAGGACAUAAGCCUUCUAUGAAGCAAUGAGGACAAUCCUCAGUUUACGGACCUAGUCCGCAUAAUUGCUACUAUCAACUUUCAACUAUUUUUUUUUCUCUAGGAACAUAUCUAAACAGUAGAACUAAAGCGCGAGCUACGACAUAAUUUGCAAAAUCCUUUUGACUAUGUUCAGGAUAAACAAGUUCAUCUUAUGAACUUCCACUCAGAUAGAUAUCCCUCUAGUCAUCUAAGUGAUUACAUGAUCCGAGUCAACUAGGCCGUGUUCGAUCAUCACGUGAGACGGACUAGUCAUCAUCGGUGAACAUCUUCAUGUUGAUCGUAUCUACCAUACGACUCAUGCUCGACCUUUCGGUCUCUUGUGUUCCGAGGCCAUGUCUGUACAUGCUAGGCUCAUCAAGUCAACCUAAGUGUUUCGCGUGUGUAAAUCUGUCUUACACCCGUUGUAUGUGAACGUUAGAAUCUAUCACGCCCGAUCAUCACGUGGUGCUUCGAAACGACGAACUUUCGCAACGGUGCAUAGUUAGGGGGAACACUUUCUUGAAAUUUUAAUGAGGGAUCAUCUUAUUUACUACUGUCGUUCUAAGCAAAUAAGAUGUAUAAACAUGAUAAACAUCACAUGCAAUCAAAUAGUGAUAUGAUAUGGCCAAUAUCAUAGUGCUCCUUUUGAUCUCCAUCUUCGGGGCUCCAUGAUCAUCAUCACCGGCAUGACACCAUGAUCUCCAUCAUCAUGAUCUCCAUCAUCGUGUCUUCAUGAAGUUGUCUCGCCAACUAUUACUUCUACUACUACAGCUAACUGUUAGCAAUAAAGUGAAGUAAUUACAUGGCGUUGUUUAAUGACACGCAGGUCAUAUAAUAAAUUAAGACAACUCCUAUGGCUCCUGCCGGUUGUCAUACUCAUCGACAUGCAAGUCGUGAUUCCUAUUACAAGAACAUGAUCAAUCUCAUACAUCACAUAUCAUUCAUCACAUUCUUCUUGGCCAUAUCACAUCACAUAGCAUACCCUGCAAAAACAAGUUAGACGUCCUCUAAUUGUUGUUUGCAUGUUUUACGUGGCUGCUAUGGGUUUCUAGCAAGAACGUUUCUUACCUACGCAAAACCACAACGUGAUAUGCCAAUUGCUAUUUACCCUUCAUAAGGACCCUUUUCAUCGAAUCCGAUCCGUCUAAAGUGGGAGAGACAAACACCCGCCAGCCACCUUAUGCAACUAGUGCAUGUUUGUCGAUGGAACCGGUCUCACGUAAGCGUAUGUGUAAGGUUGGUCCGGGCCGCUUCAUCCCACAAUGCCGCCGAAUCAAGAUUGGACUAGUAACGGUAAGCAUAUUGAACAAAAUCAACGCCCACAACUACUUUGUGUUCUACUCGUGCAUAGAAUCUACGCAAUAGACCUAGCUCAUGAUGCCACUGUUGGGUAACGUAGCAGAAAUUCAAAAUUUUCCUAUGUGUCACCAAGAUCUAUCUAUGGAGAAACCAGCAACGAGGGGAAGGAGAGUGCAUCUACAUACCCUUGUAGAUCGCUAAGCAGAAGCGUUCAAGAGAACGUGGUUGAAGGAGUCGUACUCGUCAUGAUCCAAAUCACCGAUGAUCCUAGUGCCGAACGGAUGACACCUCUGCGUUCAACACACGUACAGCCCGGUGACGUAUCCCACGCCUUGAUCCAGCAAGGAGAGAGGGAGAGGUUGAGGAAGACUCCAUCCAGCAGCAGCACAACGGCGUGGUGGUGGUGGAGGAGCGUGGCAAUCCUGCAGGGCUUCGCCAAGCACCACGGGAGAGGAGGAAGGAGAGAUGCAGGGCUGCGUCAUAUAGAGGAGAGGAACUCGCGUCUUAUGAGCAGCCCAAACCUCAACUAUAUAUAGGGGAAGGGGAGGGGCUGCGACCCCUUUAGGGUUUCCACCCCUAGGGGUGGCGGCCAGCCUAGAUCCCAUCUAAGGGAGGCGGCCAAGGGGGAGGGGGAGAGGGAGGCGCACCAGGAUGGGCCUUAGGGCCCAUCUGCCCUAGGGUUUGCCCCCUUCUCCUCUCCCUUGCGCCUUGGGCCCUUGUGGGGGGGGGCGCACCAGCCCACCUGGGGCUGGUCCCCUUCCACACUUGGCCCAUGAAGCCCUCCGGGGCUGGUGGCCCCACUUGGUGGACCCCCGGGACCCUCCCGGUGGUCCCGGUACGUUACCGAUAAACCCCAAAACUUUUCCGGUGACCAAAAUAGGACUUCCCAUAUAUAAAUCUUUACCUCCGGACCAUUCCGGAACUCCUCGUGACGUUCGGGAUCUCAUUCGGGACUCCGAACAACAUUCGGUAACCACAUACAAACUUCCUUUAUAACCCCAGAGUCAUCGAACCUUAAGUGUGUAGACCCUACGGGUUCGGGAGACAUGCAGGCAUGACCGAGACGUUCUCCGGUCAAUAACCAACAGCGGGAUCUGGAUACCCAUGUUGGCUCCCACAUGUUCCACGAUGAUCUCAUCGGAUGAACCACGAUGUCAAGGACUUAAUCAAUCCCGUAUACAAUUCCCUUUGUCUAUCGGUAUGAUACUCGCCCGAGAUUCGAUCGUCGGUAUCCCGAUACCUUGUUCAAUCUCGUUACCGGCAAGUAUCUUUACUCGUUCCAUAACACAUCAUCCCGUGAUCAACUCCUUGAUCACAUUGUGCACAUUAUGAUGAUGUCCUACCGAGUGGGCCCAGAGAUACCUCUCCGUCACACGGAGUGACAAAUCCCAGUCUCGAUUCGUGCCAACCCAACAGACACUUUCGGAGAUACCCGUAGUGUACCUUUAUAGCCACCCAGUUACGUUGUGACGUUUGGCACACCCAAAGCACUCCUACGGUAACCGGGAGUUGCACAAUCUCAUGGUCUAAGGAAAUAUUGACAUUAGAAAAGCUUUAGCAUACGAACUACAUGAUCUAGUGCUAUGCUUAGGAUUGGAUCUUGUCCAUCACAUCAUUCUCCUAAUGAUGUGAUCCCGUUAUCAACGACAUCCAAUGUCCAUGGUCAGGAAACCGUAACCAUCUAUUGAUCAACGAGCUAGUCAACUAGAGGCUUACUAGGGACAUGGUGUUGUCUAUGUAUCCACACAUGUAUCUGAGUUUCCUAUCAAUACAAUUCUAGCAUGGAUAAUAAACGAUUAUCAUGAACAAGGAAAUAUAAUAAUAAUCAAUUUAUUAUUGCCUCUAGGGCAUAUUUCCAACAGUCAGAUUGUUCGGUGUUGGGCAGUGCGGUUGAGUCCGGGCUGUUAUUGCCGGGUUCCCCUUCCCAUACUACGGACGGCUUGAAUAGCCUUUCCAAGAAGAUGUUGGGAGGGACUGCAUCGCGUUUUGCGCCGAUGCGUGCCAGGACAUCCGCCGCCUGAUUAUUUUCCCGGGCUAUAUGGUGAAAUUCGAGCCCUUCGAACUGAGCUGACAUUUUUAAGACGAUGUUGCGAUAAGCUGCCAUUUUUGGAUCCUUGGCAUCGAAGUCUCUGUUUAUUUGGGACAUUGCGAGGUUCAAAUCCCCUCGCACUUCUAGGCGUUGAAUACCCAUGGAUACUGCCAUCCAGAGACCAUGUAAGAGGGCCUCGUAUUCGGCUGCAUUGUUGGAGUCUGUGUACAUAAUCUGGAGUACAUAUUGAACUGUGUCUCCUGUGGGGGACGUCAAAACGACGCCAGCCCCCAGACCGGCCAACAUUUUGGAGCCGUCGAAAUGCAUGAUCUAGUUUUAAUAUGUGCCGUACUCUUCAGGGAGUUCGGCCUCCGUCCAUUCUGUGACGAAGUCAGCCAAAACUUGCGACUUGAUAGCUCGCCGUGGCUUAUAAGUUAUGUCGAACGGGAGGAGCUCGAUGGCCCAUUUCGCAAUCCGGCCCGUUGCGUUGCGGUUCUUUAUAAUAUCGUUUAGUGGUACUUCUGAGGCUACUAUUAUUGAACACUCUUGAAAGUAGUGUCGCAGCUUCCGGGAUGCCAUGAAUACCGCGUACGCAAUCUUUUGAUAAUGUGGGUACCUUGAUUUGCACGGAGUGAGGACAGUGGACACAUAAUAGACCGGCUUCUGAAGGGGGAAUUUGUGUCCGUCGUUUCUCGUUCGACGACGAGCACUGCGCUCAGAACCUGAUGGGUUGCUGCAAUGUAUAAUAGCAUUGGUUCGCCAAUGUUUGGCGCGGCCAGGACUGGGUUUGUUGCCAAUAUGGCUUUUAUUUCGUCGAGUCCGGCCGUGGCUGCGUCCGUCCACUCGAAGUGUUCGGUGCGCCUAAGGAGGCGGUAAAGGGGGAGUGCCUUUUCUCCCAAGUGGGAGAUAAAGCGGCUUAGAGCCGCCACACAUCCGGUUUACUUUUGUAUUUGUUUGAGGUCCUUUGGGAUAUUCAAUUGUGACAGAGCUCGGAUCUUGGCUGGAUUUGCUUCAAUUCCUCUACCGAAUACAAUGAAGCCCAAGAGCUUUCCGGCUGGAACGCCGAAAACGCAUUUUUCUGGGUUGAGCUUGAUGUCGUAUGUUCGGAGGUUAUCAAAUGUGAGCCUCAAGUCAUCUACUAGGGAUUCGACAUGUCUUGUUUUUACGACCACAUCAUCUACAUAUGCCUCCACUGUUUUGCUGAUCUGGUUUGCCAGACAUGUCUGAAUCAUGCGCUGAUAUGUUGUUUUGAGCCCGAAGGGCAUUGUGUUGAAGCAGAAUGGGCCGUAUGGUGUGAUCAAUGUCGUUGCGGCUUGGUCUGAUUCUGCCAUCUUGAUUUGAUGGUAGCCGGAAUAUGCGUCGAGCAAGCACAACGAAUCGUGUCCUGCAGUAGCGUCGAUAAUUUGAUCCAUGCGGGGGAGGGGAAAGGGAUCCUUUGGGCAAGCCUUAUUAAGGUCUUUAAAAUCAACGCACAAGUGCCAGGAUUUGUCCUUCUUUGGUACCAUCACUAGGUUUGCUAGCCAGUCCGGAUGUUUUAUAUCUCUGAUGGAUCCGGCCUCUAAUAGCUUGGCUAGCUCCUCUCCCAUGGCCUGUCUCUUAGGUUCGGAAAAACGCCGAAGAGCCUGUUUGACAGGUUUGAAUCCUUUAGGAUAUUUAAGCUGUGUUCGGCCAGCCUGCGUGGGAUUCCUGGCAUGUCUGAAGGGUGCCAGGCGAAAAUGUCCUAGUUCUCACGUAGGAACUCUCGCAGUGCGGCGUCUACAUCAGGGUUUAAUUGUGCACCGAUGGAAGCUGUUUUAUUGGGGUCCGUUGGAUGGACCUGGAAUUUGACUAUUUUGUCCGCUGGUUUAAAUGAGAUGGACUUGGAUCUUUUGUCGAGUAUCACAUCAUCCCUGUUCACCGUGGAGCGCAGCGCAGUCAGCUCCUCAGCCGCUAGGGCUUAGGAUAGUGCCUCAAGGGCCAGUGCGGCUGUCUUAUUUUAGGCGCGGAGUGCUAUGUCCAGAUCACUAGCGAGAGUGAUGAUUCCGUUCGGCCCGGGCAUCUUGAGUUUCAUGUACCCAUAAUGGGGUAUUGCUUGGAAGAUUGUGAACGCUUCCCGCCCUAGCAGAGCGUGGUAUCCGCUACUGAACGGGACCACUUGGAACGUGACCUCCUCGGACCUGUAAUUAUCCGGCGUGCCGAACACCACAUCUAGUGUGAUUUUUCCUGUACAGCACGCUUCCUGACUGGGGAUUAUUCCUCUAAAGGUUGUGCUGCUUCGCUCAAUGCGGUUCCAGUCUAUUUCUAGUUUUUGAAGGGUUUCCUCAUAAAUGAGGUUCAAUCCGCUGCCUCCAUCCAUGAGUACCUUGGUAAGGCGAAAGCCAUCCACUAUUAGACUGAGGACCAAUGUGGCUGGUGCUCGGGCUGUUCGGAAUUUAGGUUCAUCACUGGCAUUAAAAGUAAUAGCCGUGUCACUCCAUGGGUUUAUUGUUGCUACUUGGUAGACUUCGACAAGGCUGCGGAGUGUUCUUUUUCGCAUAUUAUUUGAUGCGAAAGUCUCGAAGACUGUUAAUACCGUACCGGUAUCCCUGGGGUGGCUUUCUAUGGCCUCCGGAAUUAGGAGAUCUUCACCAAUUUUGGCCACCUGCCGGAGUAUCCAACAUGCUCUAAGGCUGUGAGUUGGUGUGGCGCCCUCUGUACUAUGAAUUUUACAGGGUCGAUUAAGCCAUCCUUCCAAUAUGCUUCCAUGCCCUGUAGAGGGUUUUUGCUUUUUGGUGUUUAACCGGGUGUCUGGCGAAGAUGCACCCUUUUAUUUCGGACUGGGUUUGUAUUCAGGGCCGGAUUGUCCCAAAAUUUUAUUUCGGUUUUCCAGGCGCUAUCCAUCGCACAGUACUUUCGUACUAUGGACACCAAGUCAGCGAAGCAUGUAAUAUCACGGCGACUUAUGGCGUUGAGGAUUCCCUUGUCCAUGCAAUUAUUGCAGAAGAAUGAGAUUGCGUCUUCCUCGCGGCAGUCCUUGAUCCUGUUCAUAGCCAGGAGGAAUCUGGCCCAGUAAUGAUGUACUGUUUCUUUGGGUUUUUGCCUAAUUUGGGAUAGAUCGCUUAUGUUCGGGUGGGUGGGUGGAAUUAAAUCCGAAACCUGACCCGAUCUGAGACUCAGAGGCCAAGGAGAUUCCGAACUCGGAAGUUUGGAUUCUUGGAUGUUGUCCAAUGAGUCUAGCCCGUCGCCUGACUCUAAGUUCAGGUCUUGAGUGAUGUCCUCCCCUCCGCGGGUAUCCGACUUGGAGGGAUCGGGAAUCCGGACAUAACUAGUCCUUAAGAUAGAUGAAGGGUCACCGCACUGUCCCUCUACCAUAGCAAUGUGAUGGGUGACCUGGGGAGAGUUAAUCUCUCUUAGAUCGGGUUUAGGCCCAAUCUGGUCAUAAUCCGUGGCAACUCCCAGGGCGGCGACGCGAUCCAAGAGCUCGUUUAUGGAAGAGAGCUCCAUUGUAUCUAACUGCUCGGCGAGUUCCGAGAUGACAUGAAGACUGCUUUUGAUGACCCGAGAGGUCAUCGUCGGCGCAGCAGCCGAACAGGCGGUCAUAAGAAAACCGCCUAGCCGGAGAGUUUGGCCGACAGCCAAAGCUCCCUUAGCAACGGUUCCGUCUUUAAAGACGGGAUGAGGCAUCCUUCCUGAUGGCGACGGCACAGAGGAACUCUCAAUGUAAGCACCAAUAUCGGUGUCAAAACCGGCGGAUCUCGGGUAGGGGGUCCCGAACUGUGCGUCUAGGCGGAUGGUAACAGGACACAAGGGACACGAUGUUUACCCAGGUUCGGGCCCUCUCGAUGGAGGUAAAACCCUACUCCUGCUUGAUUAAUAUUGAUGAUAUGGGUAGUACAAGAGUAGAUAUACCACGAGAUCAAGGAGGCUAAACCCUAGAAGCUAGCCUAUGGUAUGAUUGUUGUUGUCCUACGGACUAAAACCCUUCGGUUUAUAUAGACACCGGAGAGGGUUAGGGUUACACAGAGUCGGUUACAAUGGUAGGAUAUCUACAUAUCCGUAUCGCCAAGCUUGCCUUCCACGCCAAGGAAAGUCCCUUCCGGACAUGGGACGAAGUCUUCAAUCUUGUAUCUUCAUAGUCCGGGAGUCCGGCUGAAGGUAUAGUCCGGCUAUCCAGACACCCCCUAAUCCAGGACUCCCUCACCCAGGUUUUCAGCCAAGAUUAUAACUAACCAUGUCGACAAUAACUCUUAAACAUUAUAGUAACUCUUAUGAGUAGAGGCCGCGGGAAAAAGCCUAGUAGUAGCGCGGAUAAAAGACUAGUAGUAGUGCGGGUGCCCGUGCUACUACUAUGGCGCUACAGCUAACUCGUAGUAGUAGCGCAGGUGCCACCCGUGCUACUAGUACGUGUGUUAGUAAUAGCGCGGAUUCUACACACGCUACUACUAACUAUGUGUAGCGCCUGUCUGUGACCCGCGCUACUACUAUUAAUUUCAAAAACCAAAAAAAAAUCUCGACCCCGUGCAUGUUGUCAAUGGUGUCAUCCAGCGACGACAGGGGUUGCCGGAGGUGUGGACGGGUAGUGGCAGACCAGAUCCGGCGAUGGCUGUUGGAGAUGGCCGGAUCCAGUGUAGAGCAAGACGACGGUGUGAGGAUCCUCUUCGCGGUCAAGGCGGAGAACUCCUGGUUGGCCAUGUCGACGACCUGUGCAGGCAUGGGCAUGGGAGGUGAGUAAAACCAAAGGGAGAGGGAGAGGAGAGGGAGAGGGAAAAAGAGAAACAAGGGAGAAAGGAAGGAGAUGGAGGGCGUAUCGGGGCUGCAUGGAGGCGAGGAGGAAGACGGGCGAGCUCUUGGACGCCAGCGAUGCGAGGAGGAAGACGUUGGGUGCCAUGGAGGAGGAGAUGUUCUUGGGCAGGAGCACCAUGGAGAGAGGGGGAAAGUGAGGGAGAGAGGAGGAAAGUGAGAGAGGGGGAAAGUGAGGGAGAGAGGAGGGAUUCGGCCGAGGAUAUGGAGAUUUCAUCUACCUCGUACUUAGUAGUAGCGAGGGGUAUAAAACCGCACUACUACUAUCAACAUAGUAGUAGCAUGGGUUUGUACCCCUCGCUACUACUAUGGCAUGUCCCGGGAGGGCAUGGUAGACACCGCUUAGUAGUAUCGAGGGUGAAAAACCCGCGCUAAUAGUAUCAACUUAGUAGUAGCGAGGGGUAAAAACCCACGCUACUAGUAAGUAGCAGUAGCGACGGUUAUAAACCCGCGCUACUAGUAAGCGUCUGCCUAUAAGCUUUUCCCUAGUAGUGGCAUAUCUAUGACAUAAUCAACUAGCGAGCAAUAAUAAGAUAUCUCAAACAACAACACGUUGUGAAAACAACCAUGAUAUAAUAUGACAAUAGUGGUAUCUCGCUAGCCCUUUCUAAGACCGCAAAACAUAAAUGCAGAGCACCUCCAAAGUUCAAGCAGCGACUAAACAUUGUAAUUCAUGGUAGAAAAGAUCUAGUCUUGAUGCACCCAACAUUAGCAACACAUAGUGCAUCAGCAUGACAACAGUGCUCUUUGGAUUUGGCACUUAUUUUAGAAGGUGAUGACACAACAUAAAAGUAAAUAGAUAGUCCCUUCGCAGAGGGAAGCAGUGAUUUGCAGCUGUGCCAGAGCUCAAAAUUUUAAAACAGAGGUAAAUGAAAUUUUGGGAAAUUGAUACGUAUCCAAUGUAUCUAUAAUUUUUUAUUGUUCCAUGCUAUAUUAUAUUAUGUUUUGGAUGUUUAAUAGGCUUAUUUAUACACUUUUAUAUUAUUUUUGGGACUAACCUAUUAACCGGAGGCCCAGCACAAAUUGCUGUUUUUGUUCCUACUUCAGUGUUUCGCAAAAAAAAGAAUAUCAAAUGGAGUGCAAACGGAAUGAAACCUUCGGGAACAUGAUUUUUGAAACAAAUGUGAUCCAGAGGACUUGGAGUCCAUGUCAAGCAGUCAACGAGGAGGGCACGAGGCAGGGGGCGCUCCUACCUCCCCCUAGGCGCGCCCUCCACCCUCAUGGGGCCCACGUUGCUCCACCGGCGUACUUCUUCCUCCUAUAUAUACCUACGUACCCCCAAACCAUCAGGGGCAUCCACGAAAACCUAAUUCCACCGCCGCAACCUUCUGUACACGUGAGAUCCCAUCUUGGGGCCUUUUCCGGCAUCCUGCCGGAGGGGGCAUUGAUCACGGAGGGCUUCUACAUCAACACCAUAGCCACUCCGAUGAUGUGUGAGUAGUUUACCUUAGACUUUUGGGUCCAUAGUUAUUAGCUAGAUGGCUUCUUCUCUCUCUUUGGAUCUCAAUACAAAGUUCUCCACGAUUCUCGUGGAGAUCUAUUCGAUGUAAUCUUCUUUUGCGGUGUGUUUGUCGGGACCGAUGAAUUAUGGAUUUAUGAUCAAGUUUAUCUAUGAACAAUAUUUGAAUAUCCUCUGAAUUCUUUUAUGUAUGAUUGGUUAUCUUUGCAAGUCUCUUCGAAUUAUCAGUUUGGUUUGGCCUACUAGAUUGAUCUUUCUUGCAACGGGAGAAGUGCCUAGCUUUGAGUUCAAUCUUGUGGUGUCGUUUCCCAGUGACAGCAGGGGCAGCAAGGCACGUAUUGUAUUGUUGCCAUCGAGGAUAACAAGAUGGGGUUUAUAUCAUAUUGCAUGAGUUUAUCUCUCUACAUCAUGUCAUCUUGCUUAAAGCGUUACUCUGUUCUUAUGAACUUAAUACUCUAGAUGCAUGUUGGAUAGCGAUCGAUGUGUGGAGUAAUAGUAGUAGAUGCAGGCAGGAGUCGGUCUACUUGUCACGGACAUGAUGCCUAUAUACAUGAUCAUACCUAGAUAUUCUCAUAACUAUGCUCAAUUCUAUCAAUUGCUCGACAGUAAUUUGUUCACCCACCGUAAUACUUAUGCUUUUGAGAGAAGCCACUAAUGAAACAUAUGGCCCCCGGGUCUAUUUUCCAUCAUAUUAAUCUUCCAACACAUAGCCUUUUCUAUUGCCCUUUUUAUUUUACUUUGCAUCUCUAUUUCUCUUUAUCAUAGAAAUACUAAAAAUAUUAUCUUAUCAUAUCUAUCAGAUCUCACUCUCGUUAGUGACCGUGAAGGGAUUGACAACCCCUUUAUCGCGUUGGUUGCGAGGUUCUUAUUUGUUUUGUGUAGGUGCGUGGGACUUGAGCGUGGCCUCCUACUGGAUUGAUACCUUUGUUCUCAAAACUGAGGGAAAUACUUACGCUACUUUGUUACAUCACCCUUUCCUCUUCAAGGCAAAAAACAACGCAAUGCUCAAGAGGUAGCAAGAAAGAUUUCUGGCGCCGUUGCCGGGGAGUUUACGCAAAAGUCAACAUACCAAGUACCCAUCACAAACUCUUAUCCCUUGCAUUACAUUAUUUGCCAUUUGCCUCUCGUUUUCCUCUCCCUCGCUUCACCCUUGCCGUUUUAUUCGCCCUCUUUUCCGCUCGCCUUUCCUUCGCCAUGUCGGAACCAAAAAGAGUUGGGGGUUCUCUCCCGAGUUUUAGUACUUUGGACGAUCCUUCUAUUCUAUCUAAACUCAUAAAUAAUGUCAUGGUAAAACCUGCCGGAGUUGUCAAUGAGAGUCUUAAUAAUUUUGAUGAAGAUGAUUCCGGAAUUUUUCGUUAUUUACUCGAUGAAUCUUUGAAAGAUGCUUGGGAUAGACUGUUAAGGAUCCGGGCUAACUAUGUGCCCCAAUACCAAAUUGUAGUUUACUUGAAGAGCUUUUAUGUUGCCCUACCUUCUUCGUUUAAGCAUGUCUUAGAUUCUAUAUUUGAAGAAGGCUUUCUUGAAGGGGAUGCCGUAGAUACUUAUGAAAAGAUGAAGACCAUAUUCGGGCACCCCAUGAAUGAGAAAAUUGAAUCUACAUCUCUUUUGCUCUCCAGUCCUUGGUUCAUGUAAAUCUGAAUCUAGCCGGCACUACCCCUUCACAAGCUGUUGCAUAGUCUUCAGCGAGGUGCGGCAUAACUUCCGUGUGAGGGGAAAUGAACUUCUCCAUGAAUACCUUCUCUCUCACCUUGAAAGCGGUAUAGUAGUAGCCUGGGUUGCACUUGAGCAAUCCAUUUUCCAUGAGAAACUUUACAACGUAGUACCUGGGUUUCAUCCAGCCCUCCAGCUUGUAAUUGAUAAUUAUUGACCGUUGAGCAACGUAGGUAGGUUCCAACCUGUUAGACUAUGUAUAGCUUCUGUACCUAUGUACGUAUAUGGUACAUAUUGUAACACAACCAUUAUAUAUAAUGAGAUAAGCCACCCCUAGAGGGUUGUGCUGGUUCCCCAAAACUUAUUGUCUUACAUGGUAUCACGCUAGGUUACGAUCGCUUCCGCUUCUAAACCCUAAUACCCGCACCGCCGCCGCAGCCGCCGCCGCCUUCACCGCCGCCGCCGCGCCACCGAUCGCGCCGCCGCCAUGUCGAGCGCUGCCACCACCGGUUCCACUGCUGCGGGCUUCCUCCCGGCCUCUCUUGCGGCUCUGCUCAACCUCCCGCUCGAUGCCGUCUCUGUUCCGGCUCCGAUCGGGACAAGGAGCAUCGGCUCCGUCUUCUCCAUGCCGCCGGCGCCCUCGCUUGGGCGUGACCUCGUGGUCCACACCGCGGCGCCGCCGUCCGCUGCGGACUCCGCAGGCAUCGUCCCGCCGCUCCUGCCGCAAGCGGAUCACACUGCCCCGCUGGCGGGGUUGGCGGCGUCCGCCCCGGCCGCGGGCCUUGCGGCGUCCGCACCGGCCGCGAGCUUUGCGGCGCCCGCCCUGGCUGCGGUCCCGCCUCCUCCCGCAUCGGCUUCGGUGCCUCCAGCUGCCUCCAUGGUGUUUGCACCCCAGGCAGCCUCCUCGAUGGGAUUGUCUUCGCCGCUGCCGUUUCACUUCGGUCAUCUCAUCACCAUCAAGCUCUCCGCCGACAACUACAUCUUCUGGCGUGCGCAGGUUCUCCCGCUCUUGGGGAGUCACUACCUGCUAGGCUACAUCGACGGAUCGCUUCCCUGCCCACCCGCGCUGGUAGACAGCAUGCACGGUCCGGUCUACAAUCCGGCCCAUCGCGUCUGGACGGGGCAGGACCAGGCGAACCUCUCCUCCAUCCAGGGGUCGCUCUCGCCGGCAGUUGUCGGCCUUGUUGUCUUCGCGAAGACGUCUCAUGAGGCCUGGACCAUCCUUGAGCACACCUUUGCAGCGCAGUCCCAGGCUCGUGUCUCUGCACUCCGUCGUCAGCUUGGAGAGUGUCAGAAGCUUGACUCCACUGCCACUGAGUUCUACAACAAGGUCAAGGGCCUCGCCGACACAUUGGCCUCCAUUGGACAGCCCCUCACCGACUCCGAGUUCAACUCGUUUAUUGUCAAUGGUCUUGAUGAGGAGUAUGAUGCCUUAGUCGAGAUCAUCAACGAGCGGGGCAACUCGACACCCAUGCUGGCACACGAGGUUUUCUCUCGGCUCCUUCUCACUGAGCAACGGGUCGAGACUCGCCGCACCAGGGGCACUGGCUCCCUCUCGGCCAACGCCGCCACCAAGGGUGGCCGCUCUUCUUCAUCACCCCGGUCUCCCUUGGGGCUGCCACCGUCGCCCUCCUCGGCCCCCCACCUACUGCGACCUUACCGGGGGCUGGCGUUCCACGUGUGUGUCAGCUUUGUGGCCGCGAUGGGCACUGGGCCUCCAAGUGUCAUAAGCGCUUCCAGCGAAGCUUCCUUGGUCUUGGCAAUGACGGCAAAGAUACACGCAACAAUGCCCGUCAGGUCGCCAUGGCUGAUCGUCCCGCGCCGCAGAAGCAACAGGGACACACUCAGUCCUACUCCAUCGAUCCACACUGGUACAUGGACUCUGGGGCGAUAGAGCAUCUAACCAGCGAGAUGGGGAAGCUUCACACUCGUGAACCCUAUCAUGGCUCCGACAAGAUCCACACCGCCAAUGGAGCAGGUAUGCACAUCUCUCAUAUUGGUCAAGCAUCUCUUCUCACUAGACAUGCCAAUAGGAGUCUUCAGCUUCGCAAUGUUCUUCGAGUUCCAUCUGUGACCCGUAAUCUUCUUUCAGUUCCUAAACUCACACGUGAUAAUAAUGUGCUUUGUGAAUUUCACCCUUUUGAUCUUUUUAUUAAGGAUCGGGGCACGAGGGACAUUCUUCUUAGUGGGCGGUUGUGCCAGGGCCUCUACCGUCUGGAGCAUCCUGGUGUCGCUCGUGUUUUCAGUGGAGUUCGGGUCUCUCCGUCACAGUGGCAUGCUCGUCUUGGUCACCCGGCCACACCUAUUGUCCGUCAUAUUUUGCGUCGUCAUGAGCUUCCUAGUUUGUCUAGUCAUAAAGAUGUAGCAGUGUGUGAUGCUUGUCAGCAGGGGAAGAGUCAUCAACUUCCUUUUUCGGAGUCCAGUCGUGAGGUGAAACAUCCUUUAGAACUUGUGUUUUCAGAUGUAUGGGGUCCUGCUCAGACUUCUGUCAGUGGUCAUAAUUACUAUAUCAGUAGUCGCUUUACCUGGCUUUACCUUAUUAAACGCAAAUCUGAUGUGUUUGAUAUUUUUGUUCAGUUUCAAAAACAUGUUGAACGUCUUCUCAAGCACAAAAUUGUUCAUGUCCAGUCAGACUGGGGGGGCGAGUAUCGCAACCUCAACUCUUUCUUUCAGUCGCUUGGGAUAGCUCAUCGUUUAGCAUGUCCACAUACACAUCAGCAGAAUGGUUCAGUCGAACGUAAGCAUCGUCAUAUUGUUGAAGCUGGUCUUACUCUUUUGGCCCAUGCAUCUAUUCCGUUUCGGUUUUGGAGUGAUGCUUUCACCAUUGCAUGCUUUCUCAUCAACCAUACUCCUACUCGUGUUUUAAACAUGAAGACUCCCAUUGAGGUUCUCCUUAAUGAACAACCUGAUUAUACCUUUCUCAAGGUAUUUGGGUGUGCUUGCUGGCCGCAUCUUCGUCCAUAUAACAAGCGCAAGCUUGAGUUUCGUUCUAAGAAGUGUGUUUUUCUUGGCUAUAGCUCUCUUCAUAAAAGUUACAAAUGUCUUCAUGUUCCCACUAAUCGUGUCUAUAUAUCUCGGGACGUCGUGUUUGAUGAGCAUGUUUUUCCCUUUGCCAACCUUCCUGUGUCCACUGUCGAACCACCAUCCCUGCAUUCAUCCUCUGUUGCUUCUGACCAAUUUGAUGAUGUUGCAUACUCUCCUUUGCUGUUACCUAACCAUCUCCACUGCUCGGUCCGUUUCGCCAGCGGCCGCCGAGUCGCCCGCGACUCGGCCCGUCACGCCGUCUUCGCCUGCGGCUCGGCCCGUCACGCCGUCUUCGCCCGCGGCUCGGGUCCUCAUGUCGCCUUCAUCAGCGGAUCGGCCUGCGACACCGGCCGCGCCACGGCCCACUAUGCCGAGCUCGCCAUCGGCCCGGUCUGUGAUGCCGGAGUCGCCAGCUGCUUCGUCUGCUCUGCCGGUUUCGCCGGUGGGUCGGCCUUCUUCGCCAACCGAGUCCGAGGCUACCGUGACUGGCUCCUCGUCACCGGCUGACUCGUCAACGUCGCCGUCCUCCAGCCCGUUGCAGGCUGCUCCGUCGACCUCGGUGGUUCCUGUGUCCCGACCACAUACAUGCAGUCGCAGUGGCAUUUUCAAACCUAAGGAACGUAAGGAUGGUACGGUUGCUUGGUUGGCUGCUUGUUUGGCUGCUGCUGUUGCGGAUCCAUCUUCUGAGCCUCGCUCAUAUCAGGCUGCCCUGCGCAUUCCACAUUGGCGAGAGGCUAUGGAGCAGGAGUUUCAUGCUCUUCUUCGUAACAAGACAUGGACUCUCGUUCCUCCACCACCACGGGUAAAUGUUAUUGAAUCAAAAUGGGUAUUCAAAGUGAAGAAGCAUUCGGAUGGAUCUAUUGAGCGUUACAAAGCGCGACUUGUUGCUCGCGGUUUUCGGCAGCGUCAUGGUCUUGACUAUGAGGACACCUUCAGUCCUGUCGUCAAGCCUACCACUAUUCGACUUCUUCUCUCCAUUGUUGUUUCUCGUGGUUGGUCACUUCGUCAACUUGAUGUGCAGAAUGCUUUUCUACAUGGAUUUUUGGAGGAAGAGGUUUAUAUGAAACAGCCGCCUGGUUUCUCUGAUCCUGAUCGUCCUGACUAUAUCUGUCGUCUUUCCAAAGCACUAUAUGGUUUGAAGCAAGCUCCUCGUGCCUGGCAUGCCUGCCUUGCCUCUGCCCUUCGUGCUCAUGGGUUUGUGCCGUCUACUGCUGACACUUCGUUAUUUCUUCUACAGAAGCCAGAAGUCACUAUGUAUCUUUUGGUAUAUGUCGAUGAUAUUAUCCUUGUCAGCUCUUCUCAGUAUGAUGCUGAUGCUCUUGUCUGCUCUCUUGGUGCUGAUUUUGCGGUCAAAGAUCUUGGGAAGCUUCACUACUUUCUUGGAGUUGAGGUCACUUCUCGUGCUACUGGUCUUGUCCUUACGCAGAAGAAGUACUCCUUGGAGUUGUUACAGAGAGCUGGCAUGCUGAAGUGCAAACCGACCACCACACCCAUGUCGUCUACCGACAAGAUAACAGCUGCUGAUGGUGAGCUUUUGUCUCCUGCGGAUGCCACAGAGUACAGGAGCAUUGUUGGUGGACUUCAGUACUUGACGAUCACGAGACCAGAUAUCUCUUAUGCUGUUAACAGGGUUUGUCAGUAUCUUCAGGCUCCCAGAGAUACUCAUUGGGCUGCUGUUAAACGCAUUCUUCGUUAUGUUCAGUUCAUCCUGACAUUUGGUAUGCAUAUUCGGCCGACUUCCUCUCGGGUCCUUUCGGCCUUCUCUGAUGUAGAUUGGGCUGGUAGCCCAGAUGACAGACGAUCCACGGGGGGUUAUGCAGUAUUCUUUGGCUCUAAUUUGAUCGCCUGGAGUGCUCGGAAACAAGCUACUGUGUCACGUAGCAGUACUGAAGCUGAGUACAAGGCUGUGGCUAAUGCUACUGCAGAGAUUAUUUGGGUGCAGUCUUUGCUUCAGGAGUUGGGUUUGUCUCAACCACAGCCUCCUAUUCUUUGGUGUGAUAACAUCGGUGCUACAUACCUUUCUGCAAAUCCAGUAUUUCAUGCCCGAAUGAAACACAUUGAAGUUGACUAUCACUUUGUACGGGAACGUGUAUCACAGAAGCAACUCCAGAUCAAGUUUAUCUCAUCUAAGGAUCAACUUGCAGACAUCUUCACUAAGCCUUUACCGCUGCCACAGUUUGAGGCUUGUAGGCGCAAUCUUACCCUUCUCAGUUCUUUAGAAAGUGGCUAAGAUUGAGGGAGGGUGUUAGACUAUGUAUAGCUUCUGUACCUAUGUACGUAUAUGGUACAUAUUGUAACACAACCAUUAUAUAUAAUGAGAUAAGCCACCCCUAAAGGGUUGUGCUGAUUCCCCAAAACUUAUUGUCUUACACAACCCCACCUCAGAGAUGAGGAAAUCAGACCUGCGCUGCAGUAAUUCCUUUGACUUCCUCAGCAGACACGGAGCGUUACACACAACAAUGCUCACCUCAGCGUCUGACCACCUGAACAUCUUCUUCAAGUAGGCCACAUUGGCGGCGAUCUUCUCCUCGCUGAGGAAUCUGACAGUAUCCAGCGUGUGCCUGAACAUCCUGAGCCACGAGGCAUGCCAAGGCCUUCGGCGCAUGCCACCAUCGCCCUGACGUGUUCUGGCUUGUUGCUCAGGACACCCCGCGCGCGGAGGGACAACUUGGUGAUAUCGCAAUCAUCUAGCCCGCAUUGCCGUAGGAGCGCGACGUUGGGUUUGACCAUCUCCUCGAUGCUGUGUUUUGGUUUUCGGUUUGCGUUUUUUCUCGCCCCUGAACGAGAUGGCCGAAAUUCGGCCAUUUCAAAAAUCUCGGUAAAAUCUCGGACGAAAUUACAAAACCAAAAUUUGAAUUUUAAACGAAAUUUGACUAAAAAUUGGCCGAAAUUCGGCCGAAUUUUUUGAAAACAAGCAGAGCAAAUGUACAGCAGUCGAACAACACUGAGGAGUACAUGUAUGCGUUACCAAACUAGCUUUGGGGAUUAAUAACUCCAAAAGAAAAGAUUGAAACAAGGAUACAGAGAGGUGAUCCAGAGUUGAGGAGUUCCCGAUGGAUUCAGCCGCAGCCCGCAGCCGGCAGAGGUCAGCAGCAGGGGCCGGUCGUAGGAACGGCGAGAACGGGGUAGGAGCCGCAUGCUCGAGCGGGGAGGCAGGUGCCGACGAGCGGAGGAGCCGCGUAUUGGCGCAUCGCCGCCGCCGCAAACACAGGGGCCGCAGGGGAUCGUGGUUAGUUUAGGGUUCACGAGUUCGGUUCGAUGCUUUUAAUCCAGGCAAACCGUGGGGAGGCCCAGAAGUUGGACUGGGCCAGAAAAAAGUUUCAAUCUGGGCCGAAAGUUUUGGCCGGCACAGACAUUUACCGGGUCGAGGCGAGAUGACCGAAAUUCGGCCGAAAAUUGUUUUUUUCGGCCGAAAAUCAAAACACAGCCUCGAUGUCAGCGCCGGCGAGGUAGCCUUGCUUGAGCACCCGGAAGAGGUUCUCCGAGGAGCCGAAUAGGAGCAGGUAGUACCGCAAAUUGGAAACAAUGGACCUGGAACAGAAGUGGGCGAAGGAGAGCGCGACGAGGCGCACGAUCUCAGUACGCGAGAGGCCGAGGCCGGUGAGCCCACGACGACGGGGGCUAGAGUUUUCUCUACUUUGGCGCAGAGGAACAACGGGUCCUUGGCGACGAGGGCGGCGACGUCGGUGCCGGAGAGGCCGAGGCCGGCGAGGAAGGAAAGGACGGCGUCGGGCUUGGACGAGGACUUGAGGUGGGAGAGCUUGGCGGAGGCCUUGAGUGCCUGGGGUCGGGUGAGGCCGAAGGUGGAGACGAGGUAGUCGUCGACGACGAAGCUAGGGUUUGGGGAAACGCCGGGCGCGGCGGCCGCGGAGAGGGGGCGGUGGAGAGGGGGGCCUGAGAGGUGGCGGGGGAAGAGAGGAGCCGCACGAGGAUGCAGCCACGGAGGCGGAGCAUGGCGGCGGCGGCGGCGGAGAGAUUGAUUCCCUAUGGAGGCGGGUGCGAAUGGGAUGGUGCUUCGGAGGCGGGGAUGCGGCGCCCCGGCGAGGCAGGUGAGGAACGGAGGAAGAGAACAGGAGGAGAGAUCGAAGAGGAUGGCACUUCGGCGGCGGCGGCGGCGCCGCCGAAGAGAUUUUCCGGUCCGCUGUGAGUGGAGAGGAAAAAUGGGAAAUGGCAGGUGCGAUGCGAAUGGAGGCUCCGCAAAUUGCAAUAUCACUGAAUCCCAGGGGUCUUUACGUCUUUCAAAAAUACAAAAUACAUUUAAAAAAACAUACAUAAUACAUUGAGCCUCAUGGAAACUUUCAUAUACACAUGGAAAAUAGAUAUCCCCUCCGUUUAAUAAUGUAGUGCAUAUAGAUUUUUGAAAGUCGGACUUUGCAAAUUAUGAUCAAAUUUAUAAAGCGAACUACUUAUACCUACAUUAUCAAAUAUAUAAAAUAUGAACCUACGUCUUAUGAUGAAUCUAAUGAUAUAUGCUUGACAUUCUAGAUGUAAAUGUUUUUCUUCACAAACUUGGUCAAAUUUUGUUAGAUUUGACUUUUCAAAAAAUCUACAUGCAAUCAUUAUGCAAUCGGUAUUAUAAGGAAAAUGACUUUGAGCGAUAAGAUUAUAUCACAAAAUAAGCUAUUAUACGACUUGUACUUAUCCUAUGAUUUUUUUCUGUAGGUAUAGUACUUCAUCCGUUUUUAUUUACUUUGCAUAUUAGAGUUGACUGAAGUCAAACUUUGUAAAGUUUGACCAAGUUUAUAGAAAAGAAUAUAAAUAUUUACCCUAACAAACGAAAAUCUGCAUCUGAGCCCGGGCUCAGAUGUUCCCGCUCAGAAAAAAAUUCAAAACAAAUUCUAGAAAAAUUCAAAUAAAUCCAAUUUUUUGUGUGGUAGAUAAUUUGAUGCGUGAGGCCCGCUUCAAAUUUCAACUCAUUUGGAUAUCUGAGGAGCUCUCGGCAAAAAAGACAAAUCGGAUCAAAACAGUUCGUGAACAAUAAACUUUUUUACAGACCCGAUUUUGUCUUUUUGCAGAGAGCUGCUCAAAUGUCCAAACGAGUUGAAAUUUGCAGCAAACCUCACGCAUCAAAUUAUCUAUCACACAAAAAAUGGAAUUUUUUUGAUUUUUUCUAGUAUUUGUUUUGAUUUUUUUCGUCGGAGCGAGUGCAGUUGAGCCCGGGAGCCAAAUUGGCUUAUAUGAUGUGAAAGUAUGUUCAAUAAUGAAUGUAAUGGUAUUGAUUUGUUAUUGUACAUGUUAAUAUUUUUGACUAUAAACUUCGUCAAAAUUUAUAAAGCUUGACUUUGACCAAAACUAAUAUGCGGAAUAAAUAAAAACGGAGGGAGUAAAUGGCUAUGUUUUUUUUUGUACGUAGUAAAUGGUUACUUUUUCUGAUUUUUUUUAAAUGGUUAUGCUUGCUAACCAAUCCAAUUCAAAUUAUAUGUCGCUCAAACGGAUGUAUCUAAUUAAUAUGGAUCGGAUGGAGCAGAAAAGUUCAUAUGGAUAUAUAUUUUCUCAAAACUUGAAAGUAUGAUUUCUACAAGUAAAAAAAAAUCAUAUGUGAACUAUGUUUGUUUUUAGCAUUUUGUGUGCGUUCAUGUUUCUUUUUCUCUCUCUUCAUUCUAGCCUCUUUUCCUCCACCUCACUCUGUUCUCACAUUGACAUUGUUGCCUUUUUCAGUGGACUCCUACCUAUCUUUUCUAACUUUUGCAAGGUGAGAAUUGAGAAGGUUAUUAUUCUUUAGUUUUAUGUGUAUAGCUAUCCUAGAGUCGAGAUCAAUUGCAUCGUGUCCACUUAUCCUCUAUAACACUAAGCUUCCUAGUUUUAAAAAGCCCACACUCAAUUAAGGUCUCCAAUUAGAAUUGGAUCAUCCGAUUUUGAACGGGUCAACAAUUUCUCAAAGCUUCAUAAUCCAAUUUUUUUAUACUAUACCAUAUGCUUCCUAAUUUUUAAGGCCUCACAAUUAAUUAAGAUAUUCAAUAUAGAUUGAUCAUCCAAUUUUGACUGGGUCAACAAUUUCUCAACCUCUCCAAUUGAAUUCUUUUAAUUCACUAUAUUCCAAAAUUUUGAAUCUCUUUCAUUCAAUUGAGGUAUUCAAUUUUGAUUUGGUUGAAGAUUUUGAGUGGGCCAAUGAUUUUCAAAUCAAUCAGCUGCAACUGACCUAUAAAAACAUAUCAAUCCCAUGCACCCUUCCACCACAUAGAAAAAAGAAACGUCACCAUGUGAUAUUGUAGUAUCAAUAUAGUACAUGCAACCACCAACGCAGAAAUUUUUCCACAUAAAUAUAGGUUGGUUAGCGGAUGACACAGUCAUCUCCCCACCCGCCUAACUUAAUAUUCCAUCAGUUAUAAAAUAUGAAGGGUAUUAAUUUUGUAGAAAGUAAAACUUCUUUAACUUUGACCAAGUUCAGAGCAAAAAUAUCAACAUCCACAAUAUUAAACAAAAAAAGUAUGGAAAUUCAUUUCGUGAUGAAUCUAAAAAUACUGAUUUAAUCUUAUGAAUUUUGAUAUAUUUCUCUCAAAUUUGAAAAAACUUAAAAGGUUUGGCUUUUCAAAAAAAUACACCUUAUAUUAUGAAACAGAGUGAUUAGUUUCUUAAGAUACCCAAUAACAUGAACGGCGCAGCAAAGCGCGCAGAACCCUUCUAGUUAGUAGUAUAUCUAAGAACAAUUAGCAUCCCAUUGAUGAUCGAUAAACCUUCUUAGUCCAGCUAGUGGUUGGUUGUCUAGAGUAUAGCUGGCCAAAUGGGCCGGUUUUUUCGGGUCGGCCCGUGAGCACGCCGGCACGGCCCACCUUGGGCCAGGCACGGCACGGGCCAAACGAGCCAGGCCCAGCACGCGGCACGCCCUAGGCCGUGCCUGGGCUGGAGGCUGGGCAUGCGGGCCGGCACGGCACGGCCCGAUUAUGUUUUUUAUAUUUGUUAUACAUUUAUAUAUGAUCCAACAUGUAAAAAUAAGCUAAAAACGCUCAAUGCGUCAAAUAAUAGGCUAAAAAUAUGCGGCCCACCGUGCUAAAUGGGCCAACGUGCCGGCUCGUUUACUAACGGGCCGUGCCUGGGCCUGGGGGCGCAGCACGCGGGCCGGCACGGCACGGCACGUAUAGUAAUCGUGCCCUGGCGGACCGUGCCGGACCAGGCACGAUUAUGAUGGGCCGGGCCAUGCCGUGCCGGGCCAGCCCGUUUGGCUAGGUAUGGUCUAGAGAUCUAUAUGGAGUCAGUUGAGAUGGGAUGGUCAGCCAAGUGGGUUGAUCAAUGCUCCUCUUAAAAUUCGAAGCCUAAAGUAGAUGUGCUACUCGAGAAAUAAAAAGACCAACGUAGACCGUACCAACAUCUAAUAUUUGACGUCACAUUUAAAUUUGAUACUAUUCAUACCCAUAAUUGUCCCUUUGCUCAUCGAAUUAUGCAUCUUAUAUAAAUGUUGUAAAUGAUCAAUUUUUAUAAUAAUUUUAGGGUUGUAGUUCGGUGCAUAGGUAGCUCAGAGGAACCAUAGUCAUCGCUUCCUCUCCAAAAAAGCUUAGGGUUCCUAUGCCUCCCGCUGGCGCAGCUGCCGGUCCACCUCGUCUCCGGUGGCCCUAGGGUCAUGGGGACACGGUGAAUCUCAUCCCUUACCAGAGGGCUUCGUUUUUAGACGUUUCUUUGAAUUUUGUUAGGGUUGUGUCUUGCUAAUUAAGGAGGGCAAGACAACGACGGCUUCCUGAAGAUUGAAUAAGAUUCUCCCCGCCUAGCCCCCGUCUCGAUGGCGCAUCUAACAUCGUCGAAGAGUGUGUGGAGGUGUAUCUCCGCCAGAUCUCGCAGGAUUCGGUAGGUGGUUUGUCUUUGGUGGAUCUACUCGGACCCGGUCUUCGUUCGUCUACGUUUGUGUGUCGCUAGAUUGGAUCCUUCCGAUCUAUGGGUCUCUUCAUCGGCGGGGGUUGCUAUUCUAGUGCGCUGGUCCUACGAGGCCUUAGCACGACAAGUUCCCGACUGUGUACUACAAUAAGUUCUGCCCGGCUCCGGGGAGGGAAGGGCGAUGACGACGGUGCGUCUUCGGCUCGUUUUAAUGCUUGUAGUCUUUGCUAGAUGGUCUAAGGAUGAAUGUGAUUUUUAUUAUUCCUAUUGUUCAUUGUAUUGUCAUGAUUGAAAAUGAAUAUAUCAAAUGAUUUCUCAUAGAAAAGAAGCUCAUAAGAACCAUUAAAAGGACAAUCGUGUGGUCUCCCUAGACUUUUUUUUAGAAAAGGAGGAAGACCCCCGGCCUCUGCAUCUGAGCGAUGCAUACAACCACUUUAUUAAUUAUUCUCAAAAGACCUUACAAAGAAAUACAACAAUAAGUCUGAAGCCAUCAUCUAGGCAACAUCUGUUGCUACUCCUAUUCAUUUGAUGAAGGGAUGCUGAUAGUCUGGGCUUAAUACCAAACAGACCUCGCAGCCAAACCUAACAUCUAAGACCUGAGUUCCCAUCCAGGACGCCUGCCGGGUAUGGGUCACCCACCGGUCCGGCACACUCCUCAACAUGGACGCCUGCCGGGUAUGAGGCCGCCGCAGCCACCUGCCACCAAUCCAUCUUCAGAGAUGUAGUGUUGCAUCUACCUUGUCCGGUCUAGCUGCCGUCGACGCCACCACGAUGCCAGACAACGCCACCAUCCUGCGCUCGUCCAUCAACACACGCCCAGCAGCAAGAUCCCGCUGCUCUAUGCCCCUGAGACCCGCCAUUGUCGACGUAUCAGAUGCAACGCCGCUCCUCCUUCGCGAACACCACCUUCUACCACUGGUCCUAUCCCCUCCACCUGUAGAUCCUCUGAACUCCCAACCGAGCCCUAGUGCCCCUGACGACACCUCCAGGAAGGUCACGACGCAAAAAGCGCCGCUGCCGCCAGAUCCGAAAAGGAUUGAAGGUUUUCACCCGGCCGGGGAUCGGGGUGGAUAGAUUGGGCCCUCAGCUGCGCCUUCAUGAAGGAAAGCGGCACCCAUGAGCGUCGCCGCCGCCGGGCCGGCUAGACUGGCCAAGGUUUUCCCCGGACCCAAAGUACACCACCAGGGCUGACCACCACCGGAGCCUGCAGCCGUAAACCACCAGGACGACGACAGAGGCAGCAGGAGAAAGGGGAACCAUUAAAAGGACAAUCGUGUGGUCUCCCUAGAUGGUCCUUGGAGGGAGCGAUGCAAUUUCAUUUCCUUUUUAUUGCAUUCUCAUGGAUCUAUGGGAUACACAGAUUUGGAAUAGCCAUGCGUUAUAUAGGUUUGGAAAAGAUGAAUGGGCAGGACAAAGCCCAUCAAGGUCCACAGUUGGACAUGGUAUUUUUCUCUUCCCUGAUCUUGUGUGGUUGUUACAUUACAACGAGGACUAGAUGCAUUCAUGAACCUGAGGAGACUAUAUACGGUGAUUAUAUCGUGGCUAUCAUAUUUACCUAUUUUACAAAGAAUGAUCGGAUAUAAUUUACUGGUACAAUCCAUUGUGUGCCUUUCACGCUUCCGUCAGUUUAAUUUCCUCACAUUUUAAGUAGUCUUGUGAAGUUGUGAUCAGGUAGCUCGCAAUCUGAAUUUCUGUAAUGAAUUUUUUUUGGUCCAACGAGUAAAACGUAGACUUGGUGACCCUCAAAAGGGAUGAUAUUUUACAUAACGAGUAAAUCAUGAUGUCCUUAGAUAUUUCUUAUGAGUAUUUCUUCUUUUCUGCGGAAAAGUUUCUUGUCUUCCGAACUCUUGGAUGUGGGCAGAACUCUUGAUGAGCCGAGGCACCCGCGGCAUGCCAUUGUGAGUCAAGUUUGCCAUUGUUUGAUGGGAAGUUUUCAAGUGCUACAUGUAGAAGGACGCUAUAGUGGCUGCAAUCUUGCUGCUAAGUGACACGUACUGUCACCCUGUUUCUAAUGAAAAAAACUGAAGAACAAUGACUCAUUUAAACAUUGUUCAAUUUUGUGGUUCAUGAGCCUUUUCUUCAAAGUUUACUUAAAAGUUGGGUUAUUAGGUAAAAAAUGGUUCCUUUCCUUUUGUGCUUGCAAUUUAUUGUCCUGACAAAAACACUUUUUAUUGCAGUGCUAAGAAAAUGCGUCUACUACUUGACUGAACUAAAUACUCUUGAUAGCAAACCCUCUCUGGGCAUAUUCGUAGAUUCAAGGUGAGGAGACAUGCCAGCAUACAGACCAGCAACAUACAUGGCACAUGUACGACGUUCUAACAAGAGCAUAAAGUUGAUUGAUUCUUGAUAGCAUCACCUGAAUAUAUCACUCACGGAUUCAUGAAUGUUCCCCGUUGCAAUGCACGGCCAUUCACCUAGUAAAGGCAAUGAUUUGUUGGUAGUAGAGGCAUCUCAUGUUUCAAAGGGUUAAACCUUAGCCGUCGUGACCCGGCUCCAUGGCUGGGUCAAUCUCGCACCUCUGUUGGUGCCGAACCCUAGGCAAAUUCCCCCAAAUCUCUUGUUGUUUCUAUUGAUUGACCGAAUGUGAGGAGCAAUAGUAGAUCAAUAACUCUCGUAUAACCGAGGGAAAAAGAAAUGAAGAGAAGUUGGCGAAAGUAUCAAGUGGUACAUCUACUUUUUAUAACAUCACAUGAAGCCGGCGAAAAGGAAAGCCGAUCAACGAAGAAACUGCAUAGGGGACCUAUCAUGAGUGAACAUUGCGUGGGCGCCAUUGGCCGCAUCUCAUCAUCUUGUUGUGUAGAAGAAGAAAUGACUGCCGAUGCUGCUGGUGCCUCCAUCUCUAUGACCUUGCCGUCCAAGCCCGCAUUAGCAACAAACACGUAGCACUAGAGCACGGGAGGAGAGUUGAUCAGGGAAAUCGCCUUUCUUGACGACAGGAGAAUUAGUGAUGGGCGACUCCACGCGACGCUGAUGUGAUUUCAGGCCACACUAAAGGAUGUCGGAGAAGGGGGCCAUAGGACGAACUCAACCGCAUCGGUAGUGGGCUUGGUGGAUAUUGUGUCGAGGGCUCGGGGACGCACUCGGUGAUGGUGGUGGACCUCGGGGAGGGGGGCCUCAUACACGUGGAUGCAGGGGAAAAGAGGGUGCACGGGCUUGAAGGCAUUACUCAUCCACCUCUUCUGGCAAAGAGAGCUCAUCGGGGCCAACCGCGUGAAGGAGGAGCUUGAGGUAGCUUGGAGGAGGCGACGACGACAACCAGAUCCAUCUGGCAAGCCAGAGUGGAGGCAUCCCACGUGGGAGCAGUGAUUUCGGUGCCUAAGCUUAGAUGCACCUGCUAUUAUGUUUGUUCAUUGCUGCAUGGAGAUUCAGGAAAUGGGGCAUGAGGUGGCAUUGCUAGGGCGUGGAAAAUCCCCAAAAUGAACUAUACAUGCAUGAAUAGUGUGAUACAUGUGGGUCUAUCGUGUAGCACACGAGGAGGGUUCGAACGAAGGACAGACGGUGCCAUCUUGGUUGGAUUCUGAUCCAUGGCACCUAAUCGUCUGCAUUCAUCUAAGUCGUGGCUCACUCUGCUGCCUGUGGCAUGACUUUGACACUUUGAAUCCGAGUCAUGGCCUAAAGAUUUGUGUAGCUCCAGUUGGGGCCUGCGGUGUAGGAUCGUCGGUACGCACACCGAAUGUCAUCCACGACCGACGUCGGCCAACAGAUUGCUAGCUUACUAGACGCUACAAGAGGUAGCGUCCUUCGUGAAGUUUGUGUGCUUCAACACCAACCAGGUCAUCCUAAGCCGUCAUGGACAACCCAUUCAUCUACGUGGUUGACUUCAACAUUGGAGACGACUUCUCAUGGUCGUUGCUCAUGUCACACCUUGCUCACCAUGGCAACAAGCUGUUUCAUGUCACGUCACUUGCCACCACAUUAAUGCACCGCGCGGAUACGCAUGCACCUACAAUCGUGCAUGGUGUCCCUCAGAGUUCACGCGCGUCCCUAGGGGCUCCCAUUCCAGUACGACGAGAAGGACCUCCUGGUCUGGGCUGGAAGUCACGUAAUGGUACCUACAACAAUCUCGAAAAGAGUAGAAGGCCUGGAUUUCGAGAGCAUCUGAGCUCGCACUUAGAAAUCUAUUUUUGUUCCCACGGUCCAUACAUAGAGAGAAACUAGAAAAGAAAAUGCAAAACACGCAUACAUGCAUGCAUGCUUCCACAAAUGGGUUACCAGAUACCUUUCUGGGGCUCUGGUGACCUCACAUUCAUUGUUGACCCCUUACGACCUCACAAUCAUGGGAGAGAUUUCAUGACCGCACACUGUCUCUAUAAAAGCCUAUCACCUCUAUGAAUCAUGUGGCUCCAUCAUUUCAAAUCCUCCGCGCGCCUAAGAUACCACUUGAGAAAUUACUAAUGGCCAACGGAAAGAAUGUCAUGGCCAUGUUGUUUCUCACCACCAUUGUGGCGGUGGCGGCCACAAGGCCAGCCGAGACCUAUGGCGCUGCGGAGGAGAACACAUUGAAGAUGGCUACCCCCAGCAAGAAAGGGGUUGACGCUACCUUAGCAGCUACACGUGUUGUUGCCGCCGAGAAGUCCAUCAAGAAGGCUGAAAGCGCCACCACACCAGAAGAGGCCGCGACUGCCAAGCAAGAUGGAGCAAAAUCUGCUUCUGCUGCAUUAAAGUACAAUGCCAUCUCUCAGCAGGCAAAUGGUAAAGGUUCUUCUACCUCCCUAGGCAGGAAAGAAGCAGCCGGUACUUUAGCCGCCGCACACUAUGCCGCCGCCGAGAAGUCCAUCAAGAAGGCCGAAACCGCCAAGACACCUGCAAAGGCCGUGGCUGCCAAGCGAGACGCAGCAAAGUCUGUUGACAAUGCAUUAAAGUAUGAUGCCAUCUCUCGGAAAGCAGCUGGUACAAGUUCUUCUACCUCCCCCAAUAGGAAAGAAGGCACCACUGAUGCUGCUAAGAUGUUCACCAAGAAGGCUGAAACCGCUACCACACCUGAAGAGGCCGCGAAUGCCAAGCAAGCUGCAGCCAAGUCUACCGCUGCUACAUCAAAGUAUGGUGUCAUUUCUCAGCAAGUAGCUGGUACAAGUUCUUCUACCUCCCCUAGCAGGAAAGAAGCUGCCGGUACCUUGGCAGAUGCUCACAUAGCUACUGCCGAGAAGUCCAUCAAGAAGGCUGAAACCGCCACCAGACCUGAAGAGGCAGCAUCCGCUAAGAAGGAUGCCGCGAAAUCUGAGGCUAAUGCAAUGCAGUACGGGGCCAUCUCUCAGCAGGCCACCGGCAAAAAUGGUGCCUAAGUGGUGCCUUAAACACCUAUUCACGCGCAACAUCAUCUACAUACUACCAUGCACGCAAAAUAGCAGCAUUGAGAUACCACGUUAUGCUAAUUCUCAUGCAUGCAUGCUUUGUUUAAACGUUCACAUUAUGAAUCAUGUAUUAAUGUCUUGCUUGUUUUAUUUUUAGUAGUAAGACACGCUUGACUUGCUUUAAAAAAAAUACAACAAUCGAUGUAUACAUGUAUCAUCUGAAAAUUAAUAAUAUGAGUUCCACCACAAUUUGUGUCUUUUUGUCAUAUUUUGGGUGCAAUCAAUGCACACAUCCAAUACACAAAAUUGGACGAGUCAAUGUGUUAUGGCUCCAUGGAGCGGCGAAUCAUGUUUUAUUGUCUUGCUUGUUUUACUUUUAGUAGUAACUAG
rnacentral:lncRNA from 1 species